rnacentral:misc_RNA from 1 species
GGGAUCAAAUCGAAUCCAGCUAUUGCAAUGGUGACAAGCUCACAGGCCUGUACUUACCAAAUGAAGAUGGAAACAAUGUAAGCAAUCAAAAUGGAUAUGAGGAUUUUGAUAGUGAGCAGCUUGAAGACGAAAACUUAUCAAAUGCUGACCAAAAAAGUGGGAGUGAUAAAAAUGAAUCUGGGAUUUGUGACAAUGAGCAAGACAAAGUUGUUAACUUAUCAGAUGAGGACCAAAACAAUGGCAGUCAUCAAAAUGAAUCUACGGCUUGCAAUAUUGAGCAGCAUGGAGUUUCCAAUGAAGAUUGUUCAUCAAAUGAACCUUCUCAUCUUGAAAAUGGUAAGCUGCCCAAGUCUCCAUUAUCAGGAACAAAUUCAGAAGUUGAUGUUAAUGAUGAAAGCUUACUACUAGCAGCAAAGCGAAAGGUUGAAACAGAAGCAGAUGCUAACAAUGAGAGUGAUUCUUCUAUGAGAAGAUCAAGCCAUGGGGAGCCGGUUGAUAUAAAGGGAAGUACUUCAAUUGCCACUGCCCAACAGCCAGCAAAAGAAAGCAUUUCAUUUGAUGUCUUUUUAUCUUCACCUAAUGAACUUCUAGAGCAGCCUCAGGAAAGCGCUAACCACGGCUCCGACUGUGUAAUGUCUACAGAUGCAUUUGAAAACACAGAUUUUUUCACCCCCAGCUCUGAGCUUAGUGAUUCUCUUAUAGAUUUGUCCAAAUCCCCCACAACCAGAAGCUCGCGUGCUUAUUAUGAUGAUGGUGUCUCUUCUUAUGAAGGAACUGAUGAUCAAUUGCCUGAUCGACACAAGCAUUCAUCUAAACAUGCUUAUAGGUCUGCUGCUUCUGAUGUGAGGCCCAGAAGGGAAAGAUUCCUCCUGAUAAUCAACAGCAAUCGUGAAACACAUCAUCAUUUCAGGAAUUCUGCAUCAAUUCUGCCUGAGAGGACACGUUAUGCCAUGAAAUCUAGCAAGUUGGAUCGGGAUGAAUUGCUGGAGCCCACACGACUUGGCCAUUCAGGUAGAAACUGGAGAAGAUUAGCGAGACAUGAAUAUCUGUCUCAGCCGUCUUUUCAUGGAGGGGACUCCCUUGCUGGAUAUGAAAGUGGCAGUCCUUCCAAUCACAAUGAGUUCUAUUAUAAUUCAAGCUUUCCUGCACAAGACAAGCCUCUGUACGCUGAGCAGGAGAAGAUGAAACUGUUAAGAAUGGUUUAUCAUGAGUUGCAGGAUCAACUUAAUAAAACAUCUCUAAAUGACAAAACAAAUGGAGUCACUUGGAAAGAUGAUUAUUUUCGCAUGAACUAUGGUCGUGAGGUCUUACAGGAGGAAGGUUUCCAUAACUUAAUCUAUCCUAGAUUUCCUGGAAAACUCAGAGAGGAUAGUAAUUGGUCUCAACUGAAGAAACACUCACGAUCACGAAUGCCUUUCUCAGCAGAGGCAACAACCAGUAGACACCAAGUUGAUCAUUCCUUCUGCUGCAGUCCCCAAGAGUGGCAGUGCACAGCACAAUUUCCUCGACCUGGCCUUCGUCACAAUAAAGGGUUUGGUAGGGUACACUCUCAUCUCGGCCUUUACAAUUCCUAUGGCUCUUGUCCCUCGAGUCCUCAAUGGCAUGUGGAGUCUCAGUUUCCUAUACAUAGUCGAGGAACAAAGUCUGAUGAACAGAGGUAUAGAAAUAACGAGGUGAAGAGGUACUCAAGGGAGAAACAUCACUUGGCUAAGCGACGCGUCAUGCCCAUUGCAGGUGCAGCCCCUUUCAUAACUUGUUAUUGUUGCUUGAAACAGCUCCAGCUGCCUGUAGAUUUUCUCCUCUUUAAAAGGAGGUGCCAUCAGCUAAAAUGUGGUGCUUGUUCAAAGGUACUCAAGUUUUCACUUCAAGACAGAACUCAUCUAAUCCCAUGUAUGCCAAGUGCUGAAGCACCUCCACCAAGUGAGGCUGACGAGUGUAGCGAUGCUAUUCAUCAGGGAAACUUCACUUCCACAUCUCAUGUCAGUGGUCCCUGUGCGGAUUGUGUGUCGUGUUCUGAUGAUUGUGGACGCUCCUUCUGCAAAAGCUGUUCCACUGAUAGGAAUUCUAUUUCCCUGAAACCAUUUCAUGCUAUCCACAGCAAUGAUGUUCAAAGAAAUGUGCCACAUGUUUCACUCGAGAAUAUUGAAGACAGAAGGAAGUUUGCUCUGAAUGAGGCUCGAAACAAAGGUAAGUAUCCUGUGCAAACAUAUGAAUCAGCAGGCCCUUCUUCUAGUACGUCCAAAUCAAAGAAAGUAUCCUCAGAAAUUGAGGAGCUGCCAGCAGCAGGAGG